rnacentral:rRNA from 1 species
CCUACGGGUGGCUGCAGUCGAGAAUCAUUCACAAUGGGGGAAACCCUGAUGGUGCGACGCCGCGUGGGGGAAUGAAGGUCUUCGGAUUGUAAACCCCUGUCAUGUGGGAGCAAAUUAAAAAGAUAGUACCACAAGAGGAAGAGACGGCUAACUCUGUGCCAGCAGCCGCGGUAAUACAGAGGUCUCAAGCGUUGUUCGGAAGCACUGGGCGUAAAGCGUGCGUAGGCUGUUUCGUAAGUCGUGUGUGAAAGGCGCGGGCUCAACCCGCGGACGGCACAUGAUACUGCGAGACUAGAGUAAGGGAGGGGGAACCGGAAUUCUCGGUGGAGCAGUGAAAUGCGUAGAUAUCGAGAGGAACACUCGUGGCGAAGGCGGGUUCCUGGACAUUAACUGACGCUGAGGCACGAAGGCCAGGGGAGCGAAAGGGAUUAGAUACCCCGGUAGUC